UUGAGCCUGUGAUGAUUAGCAUAUUGUUGGAAUUACCGUCGGAUUAUCAAAUGACGACAUUUGUCUGUCUUCCUGAGGCUUAA
rnacentral:snoRNA from 1 species